rnacentral:rRNA from 1 species
UACGUAGGGUGCAAGCGUUGUUCGGAUUUACUGGGCGUAAAGGGCGCGUAGGCGGUAGCACAAGUCAGUUGUGAAAUCUCCGGGCUUAACUCGGAAAGGUCAACUGAUACUGUGCGACUAGAGUGCAGAAGGGGCAACUGGAAUUCUCGGUGUAGCGGUGAAAUGCGUAGAUAUCGAGAGGAACACCUGCGGCGAAGGCGGGUUGCUGGGCUGACACUGACGCUGAGGCGCGAAAGCCAGGGGAGCGAACGGG